rnacentral:rRNA from 1 species
UGCGUAGGCGGAAAAUUAAGUCAGUGAUGAAAUCCUGCAGCUUAACUGUAGAACUGUUAUUGAUACUGAUUUUCUUAAAUUCAGUUGAGGUAGGCGGAAUGUGUAAUGUAGCGGUGAAAUGCUUAGAUAUUACACAGAACACCGAUUGCGAAGGCAGCUUACUAAGCUGAUAUUGACGCUGAGGCACGAAAGCGUGGGGAGCGAACAGGAUUAGAUACCCUGGUAGUCC